rnacentral:rRNA from 1 species
GGACCUGACUGCUAUCGGAUUGAUACUAAGCCAUGCGAGUCAUUGUAGCAAUACAAGGCAUACGGCUCAGUAACGCGUAGUCAACCUAACCUAUGGACGGGAAUAACCUCGGGAAACUGAGAAUAAUGCCCGAUAGAACAUUAUGCCUGGAAUGGUUUAUGUUCCAAAUGAUUUAUCGCCGUAGGAUGGGACUGCGGCCUAUCAGUUUGUUGGUGAGGUAAUGGCCCACCAAGACUAUUACAGGUACGGGCUCUGAGAGGAGUAGCCCGGAGAUGGGUACUGAGACACGGACCCAGGCCCUAUGGGGCGCAGCAGGCGAGAAAACUUUGCGAAUGUGCGAAAGCACGACAAGGUUAAUCCGAGUGGUUUCUGCUAAAGAAACCUUUUGUCGGUCCUAGAAACGCUGUAUGAGAUAAGGGGUGGGCAAGUUCUGGUGU